rnacentral:rRNA from 1 species
UACGGAGGGUGCGAGCGUUAUCCGGAAUUACUGGGUUUAAAGGGUGCGUAGGCGGCCCUGUAAGUCAGGAGUGAAAGUUUGCGGCUCAACCGUAAAAUUGCUUUUGAUACUGCGGGGCUAGAAUUAGGAUGAGGUCAGCGGAAUGUGGCAUGUAGCGGUGAAAUGCAUAGAUAUGCCAUAGAACACCAAUUGCGAAGGCAGCUGGCUAGACCUGGAUUGACGCUGAGGCGCGAAAGCCAGGGGAGCAAACGGG